AAUCAAUUAGCUAUUGAAAAUAGUGGACCAUGAGGUAACUAAAGCACCAGAUACUUCCCUCCACAGUCGGCGGAACCCAAAAUACAGCUACAGUCGGACAGCUUUUGCUGAAAAAUUUCUACCCUGACCUCCACUCUAAGAAGUUCUGCGGCAGUUUAACAACAACACGCCACUUCCACCUUUGCAUCUGAGAGAGGACAGUAACACAACCACGACGAGAUGACACACGGAGGCUUCGGAAGGAAAACAUAAAAAUGGAGACAGCUUUGGUCCUCACAUGAGAGUUGUUCUGGGCAGGCCUUUUGUGACCAGAGAAUUUGGACAGAGUGACUCCGGGGCUCAAUGAGAAAUCCUGAGGCUGGAUGACACGACAC